rnacentral:rRNA from 1 species
UACGAAGGGGGCUAGCGUUGUUCGGAAUUACUGGGCGUAAAGCGUGCGCAGGCGGUUCUAUAAGACAGAUGUGAAAUCCCCGGGCUCAACCUGGGAAUGGCAUUUGUGACUGUAGAGCUAGAGUACGGUAGAGGGGGAUGGAAUUCCGCGUGUAGCAGUGAAAUGCGUAGAUAUGCGGAGGAACACCGAUGGCGAAGGCAAUCCCCUGGACCUGUACUGACGCUCAUGCACGAAAGCGUGGGGAGCAAACAGG